CCUACGGGAGGCAGCAGUGGGGAAUUUUCCGCAAUGGGCGAAAGCCUGACGGAGCAACGCCGCGUGGAGGAAGAAGACCUUCGGGUUGUAAACUCCUUUCAGUCCGGAUGAAGCCCCGAUGUCCAUCGGGGUGACAGUACGGACAGAAGAAGCCCCGGCUAACUACGUGCCAGCAGCCGCGGUAAUACGUAGGGGGCGAGCGUUGUCCGGAUUUAUUGGGCGUAAAGAGCGCGUAGGCGGCUUAUCAAGUCAGGUGUGAAAUCCUCAGGCUUAACCUGAGAAUUGCACUUGAAACUGAUAGGCUAGAGUCCAGUAGAGGAGAGUGGAAUUCCCGGUGUAGCGGUGAAAUGCGCAGAGAUCGGGAAGAACACCAGUGGCGAAGGCGGCUCUCGGGUCUGAGACUGACGCUGAGGCGCGAAAGCUAGGGGAGCGAACAGGAUUAGAUACCCCGGUAGU
rnacentral:rRNA from 1 species